GUCGUAACAAGGUCUCCGUUGGUGAACCAGCGGAGGGAUCAUUACCGAGUUUACAACUCCCAAACCCCUGUGAACAUACCCAUCGUUGCCUCGGCGGUGCCCGCUCCGGCGGCCCGCCAGAGGACCCCCAAACUCUUGUUUUAUACAGCAUCUUCUGAGUAACACGAUUAAAUAAAUCAAAACUUUCAACAACGGAUCUCUUGGUUCUGGCAUCGAUGAAGAACGCAGCGAAAUGCGAUAAGUAAUGUGAAUUGCAGAAUUCAGUGAAUCAUCGAAUCUUUGAACGCACAUUGCGCCCGCCAGUAUUCUGGCGGGCAUGCCUGUUCGAGCGUCAUUUCAACCCUCAAGCCCCCGGGCUUGGUGUUGGGGAUCGGCGUGCCCUUCGCGGCACGCCGUCCCCUAAAUCUAGUGGCGGUCUCGCUGCAGCUUCCUCUGCGUAGUAGCACACCUCGCACCGGAGAGCAGCGCGGCCACGCCGUUAAACCCCCCACUUCUGAAAGGUUGACCUCGGAUCAGGUAGGAAUACCCGCUGAACUUAAGCAUAUCAAUA
rnacentral:rRNA from 1 species